GACAGAGGGUGCAAACGUUGUUCGGAAUUACUGGGCGUAAAGCGCGUGUAGGCUGCUUCGCAAGUCGGGUGUGAAACCUCCAGGCUCAACCUGGAGACGCCACCCGAUACUGCUGUGGCUAGAGUCCGGUAGGGGAGCGUGGAAUUCCUGGUGUAGCGGUGAAAUGCGCAGAUAUCAGGAGGAACACCAGCGGCGAAGGCGGCGCUCUGGGCCGGUACUGACGCUGAGGAGCGAAAGCGUGGGGAGCAAACAGG
rnacentral:rRNA from 1 species